rnacentral:rRNA from 1 species
GACGAACGCUGGCGGCGUGCCUAAUACAUGCAAGUCGAGCGAGACUCUUCGGAGUCUAGCGGCGGACGGGUGAGUAACACGUGGGCAACCUGCCUGUAAGACUGGGAUAACACCGGGAAACCGGUGCUAAUACCGGAUAAUCCUUUUCCUCUCAUGAGGAAAAGCUGAAAGUCGGUUUCGGCUGACACUUACAGAGGGGCCCGCGGCGCAUUAGCUAGUUGGUGAGGUAACAGCUCACCAAGGCGACGAUGCGUAGCCGACCUGAGAGGGUGAUCGGCCACACUGGGACUGAGACACGGCCCAGACUCCUACGGGAGGCAGCAGUAGGGAAUCUUCCACAAUGGACGAGAGUCUGAUGGAGCAACGCCGCGUGAGCGAUGAAGGCCUUCGGGUCGUAAAGCUCUGUUGUUAGGGAAGAACAAGUACCGGAGUAACUGCCGUUACCUUGACGGUACCUAACCAGAAAGCCACGGCUAACUACGUGCCAGCCGCCGCCGUAAAAC